UACGUAGGGGGCAAGCGUUGUCCGGAUUCAUUGGGCGUAAAGAGCGUGUAGGCGGCCAGGUAGGUCGGUUGUGAAAACUGGAGGCUCAACCUUCAGAGGUCGACCGAAACCAUCUGGCUAGAGUCCGGGAGAGGAGAGUGGGAAUUCCUGGUGUAGCGGUGAAAUGCGCAGAUAUCAGGAAGAACACCCGUGGCGAAAGCGGCUCUCUGGAACGGUACUGACGCUGAGGCGCGAAAGCGUGGGGAGCAAACAGG
rnacentral:rRNA from 1 species